AGAGUUGUAGCUCAGUGGUUGAGCACUUGCCUCACUCGCAGGAGGCACUGGGUUCGAUUCUCAGCACCACAU
rfam:Ictidomys tridecemlineatus contig042192, whole genome shotgun sequence.